rnacentral:miRNA from 1 species
UGAGGUGGUCCGGUGAUGCAUAUGGCGCAUAAUUGUUUCUAUCAAAACAAUUAUGCGCCAUAUGCUUUUGCCCACUUCU